GACACGACUCUCGACAAUGGAUAUCUCGGCUCUCGCAUCGAUGAAGAGCGCAGCGAAAUGCGAUACGUGGUGCGAAUUGCAGAAUCCCGCGAACCAUCGAGUCUUUGAACGCAAGUUGCGCCCGAGACCAAUCGGUCGAGGGCACGUCCGCCUGGGCGUCAAGC
rnacentral:rRNA from 1 species